rnacentral:rRNA from 1 species
GAUGAACGCUGGCGGCAUGCCUUACACAUGCAAGUCGAACGGCAGCACGGGAGCAAUCCUGGUGGCGAGUGGCGAACGGGUGAGUAAUAUAUCGGAACGUGCCCAGUCGUGGGGGAUAACGUAGCGAAAGCUACGCUAAUACCGCAUACGAUCUAUGGAUGAAAGCGGGGGAUCGCAAGACCUCGCGCGAUUGAGCGGCCGAUAUCAGAUUAGGUAGUUGGUGAGGUAAAGGCUCACCAAGCCGACGAUCUGUAGCUGGUCUGAGAGGACGACCAGCACACUGGGACUGAGACACGGCCCAGACUCCUACGGGAGGCAGCAGUGGGAAUUUUGGACAAUGGGGCGCAAGCCUGAUCCAGCAAU